GACGAACGCUGGCGGCGUGCUUAACACAUGCAAGUCGAACGAUGAACCCGGAGCUUGCUCUGGGGGAUUAGUGGCGAACGGGUGAGUAACACGUGAGUAACCUGCCCUGGACUCUGGGAUAAGCGUUGGAAACGACGUCUAAUACCGGAUAGGACCUUGGAUCGCAUGAUCUGGGGUGGAAAGUUUUUUCGGUCUGGGAUGGACUCGCGGCCUAUCAGCUUGUUGGUGAGGUAAUGGCUCACCAAGGCGUCGACGGGUAGCCGGCCUGAGAGGGUGACCGGCCACACUGGGACUGAGACACGGCCCAGACUCCUACGGGAGGCAGCAGUGGGGAAUAUUGCACAAUGGGCGAAAGCCUGAUGCAGCAACGCCGCGUGCGGGAUGACGGCCGUCGGGUUGUAAACCGCUUUUAGUAGGGAAGAAGGGCUUCGGCUUGACGGUACCUGCAGAAAAAGGACCGGCUAACUACGUG
rnacentral:rRNA from 1 species